CCUACGGGAGGCAGCAGUAGGGAAUCUUCCACAAUGGGCGAAAGCCUGAUGGAGCAACGCCGCGUGGGUGAAGAAGGUCUUCGGAUCGUAAAACCCUGUUGUUAGAGAAGAAAGUGCGUGAGAGUAACUGUUCACGUUUCGACGGUAUCUAACCAGAAAGCAACGGCUAACUACGUGCCAGCAGCCGCGGUAAUACGUAGGUGGCAAGCGUUAUCCGGAUUUAUUGGGCGUAAAGGGUACGCAGGCGGUCUGUUAAGUCUGAUGUGAAAGCCUUCGGCUUAACCGGAGUAGUGCAUUGGAAACUGGGAGACUUGAGUGCAGAAGAGGAGAGUGGAACACCAUGUGUAGCGGUGAAAUGCGUAGAUAUAUGGAAGAACACCAGUGGCGAAGGCGGCUCUCUGGUCGGUAACUGACGCGGAGGUUCGAAAGCGUGGGUAGCAAACAGGAUUAGAUACCCGGGUA
rnacentral:rRNA from 1 species